UGUGGCAAAAGUUUUCAUCUUUGGUGUCCGAUACAUAAAUAUAUACGCGAAACAAGCACGUACUAUUAAUAUUCAGUUCAAUUCUAUAAACUACCUCAACAACUUCCUCGGCUUAGAAGGAGUGAUCUUGAUGACAAGUCCGGGGAAAACAUCAUCCGGGUCAUGGAUAUGCGGGUUCUGCUCAACGAUAAAGGGGUCGCCGCACUUGUCGCUUAUGGUGUGCAGGGUCUCCCCUUCUCCAACGACGUAUAUUUCAUCGCAAGGUCGGUCAAGAAGCUGGUUCCCUUUGACAGGUUCAGCCGUGGAAGAACGCUCCCUUAUAGACGCCAAUAAUAUUAGGCCUAACAGGACUAUGGCAAAGAACCACGACGCUGCGUCGGCUAUGGCUAUUGAGAUUCUCAUGGUUUUCUUUCUGGAGAUCGAACUCAUAUCUGUGUAUAUGAGAUAUGAAAGAGAUAAGGAUUUAGAUGGAUGGAACAGAGAGAGAAUAUGGAAUCCUGUAAAUAGCUAGAAAUCGA
rnacentral:misc_RNA from 1 species